rfam:Cricetulus griseus cell line CHO-K1, whole genome shotgun sequence.
GUGGUUAAGAGCUCAGUGGUUAAGAGCACUGGCUGUUCUUCCAGAGGUCUUGGGUUCAAUUCCCAGCAACCACA